rnacentral:tRNA from 1 species
GACGGGGGGCGCCGCGGGCGGUGGUGGUGUGGAGCCACCGCAUCAGCCGUCGUUCGGCUCGGCGCCGCGUCCC